GACACCACUUCCAUUGUGAACCGCUGAAGUAAGAUAUUCAAUGCAUUUCACUAAUACUGAAAUAUUCACAGACUCCAGUAUGGUACCAGCUGAAUCCUACUCCACAUAGUGAGCAGUACGGCUGAUACUUGAAGCCCGAUGCGGACAAGAAAUCAAAGCAUAAGACAGCUGUGAAAAAGAAAACGCUUAAUCCAGAAUUUAAUGAGGAAUUUUGCUAUGAAAUCAAGCAAGCUGAUUUGGCAAAAAAAACUCUGGAAGUAACUGUUUGGGAUUAUGAUAUUGGAAAAUCAAAUGACUUCAUUGGUGGGGUGACGCUUGGAAUUAAUGCCAAAGGUGAACGUUUAAAGCACUGGUUUGACUGUCUGAAGAGCAAGGACAAGAAAAUUGAGCGCUGGCACACAUUGACCAAUGAACUCCCAGGAUCUAUUCUCAGUGAUUGAUGCCAGAUGUCCAUUGAGAAUCCUGCUCUGCAACUCAGCACAUGACAAGUGAGGUUCUCUCCAAGAGCAGACAUAAACAACUGUUGCCGAAAAGUUGGGCCUUUUGCACUUUUCGUUUCAGAACCAACACUCUCUAGGCCUCUUCACGGAUACCUAACUUUGCCUGGUAAUCUUGUGGCUUACAUAUUGGCUUAUGUACAUGUUUACAUGCAUUUGUGUAUCUGAGCACUUGGGAUAAAUAUCAGAGCUGUACCUUUGGAUGACUUUUUAUAAUUGGUGUAACACCAAGAAGUAUCCAUUUUUGAUGAUUGAUACUUUUAGUGACCCAGGCCAA